rnacentral:rRNA from 1 species
CGACGCUGCGGCGGCUUACACAUGCAGUCGAGCGAGACCUUCGGGUCUAGCGGCGGACGGGUGAGUAACGCGUGGGAACGUGCCCUUCUCUACGGAAUAGCCCCGGGAAACUGGGAGUAAUACCGUAUACGCCCUUUGGGGGAAAGAUUUAUCGGAGAAGGAUCGGCCCGCGUUGGAUUAGGUAGUUGGUGGGGUAAUGGCCCACCAAGCCGACGAUCCAUAGCUGGUUUGAGAGGAUGAUCAGCCACACUGGGACUGAGACACGGCCCAGACUCCUACGGGAGGCAGCAGUGGGGAAUCUUAGACAAUGGGGGCAACCCUGAUCUAGCCAUGCCGCGUGAGUGAUGAAGGCCUUAGGGUUGUAAAGCUCUUUCAGCUGGGAAGAUAAUGACGGUACCAGCAGAAGAAGCCCCGGCUAACCCCGUGCCAGCAGCCGCGGUAAU